rnacentral:rRNA from 1 species
GACGAACGCUGGCGGCGUGCUUAACACAUGCAAGUCGAACGAAGAGCGAUGGAAGCUUGCUUCUAUCAAUCUUAGUGGCGCACGGGUGUGUAACGCGUAAUCAACUUGACCUUCAGAGGGGGACAAACGUUGGAAACGACUGCUAAUACCGCAUACGAUCUAAUCUCUGCAUCGAGGAUAGAUGCAAGGUGGCCUCUACAUGUAAGCUAUCACUGAAGGUGGGGAUUGCGUCUGGUUAGCUAGCUGGAGGGGUAACGGCCCAACCAGGCGUUGGUCAGGAGCCGGUCUGAGGGGGAGGACGGCCACAAUGGGACUUGAACACGGCCCAGGCUUCUACGGGGAGCAGCAGUGGGGAAUCUUCCGCAAUGGAGGAAAGUCUGGCGGAACAACGCCGCGGUGGGGAUGACGGCCUUCGGGUUGUAAAGCUCUGUUAGUCGGGACAAAAGGCCUUCUGGCGAAUAGUGAGAAGUAUUGACGGUACCGGAAGAGAAAGCCACGGCUAACUACGUG